rnacentral:tRNA from 1 species
GGGGCUAUAGCUCAGUGGUAGAGCACUUGCCUUGCAUGUGUGAGGCACUGGGUUCAAUCCUCAGCACCA